rnacentral:lncRNA from 1 species
GUGCUCAUUGUUAGAUACAGCUCAAUAAUAAGAAAUACAGGCAUGUAGAGAAAGAGUCAGCAUGUGUCCUGACUGUCAUCCACAGGUCUGGCAGUCUCACCCAUCCCGCACGGCGCUCUCCCUGACUCUUAUUUAUUUAUUUUUCCUUGGUGCGCGUCCCCGCUGCGAAAGCCGGAGCACUUCUCGCUCUCUCCCCUCUUCACUUCGCUUCCUCUCCUCCUCUCGACAGCAUCCAGAACUAUAGCGCAACCGUCCCCAUCACUCUUUUCCUCCCCUCCUCCUCUCUCUCACCACCAGAUCUCUCUCCACUGCGUCUCUCACCCCUUUGCUCCCCCUACCGCCCCCCUCCGCCUCCCCAGCUCAGUCCCUCACUCCUCUGACGCACGACAGGGAAACGAACCCGAGGAUAGAAAGAAAGGCAACAUACAAAGCAGCAGCUGACCCAACCGUCGAUAUGAUCCACAGACUCUUGCUACUGCACCGGACAGAGACACGGUCCUGAAACCGAGAGGAGAACACUCUCACCCGGCGACACUGUUCUUGAGCGCUCGCCCGGCCGGCGACGGCGGCGGAGGAGAAGGGGGAGGAGGAGGAGGAGAGGGGAGGAAGAGGAAGCGGACGGGCACAAGUCGAGGGCUUGCAUUUCAAGCAAACUGCUUAGGAAAAAAAAAAAGAAGGGGAGAGAGUCAGAGUCACCGGAGAGCAAGAGUGUGGGAGAUUGCAUUCCUAUCACGUCUUCAUUUCUCCUCUGUUUUGCCUCAGCCUCUGAGAGAGGGUGAGAGAGAGAGAGAGAGAGAGAGAGAGAGAGAGAGAGAGAGAGAGAGAGAGAGAGAGAGAGAGAGAGAGAGAUCUAACAAGAUUCAUACUAGUGGUCUUGUUUUCCUGAUGCUGUCCAAUUGCAGUACGAAACUAAGCCCGGCAUCGGACGGUGAGCGGGACGCACCGGGCAACAACAGAACACAUCGCAGGAGGAUAUGUGAAGUUGGAAUCCCACUAAACUAAGCCGGCCGGAUCUACUAAAACACAGCCUCGUGAGAUUCUCGGAGCAGCAGUUUCGCCCACUACGCUUUUCACUUGUGCCGUUGCUCCUCG